rnacentral:rRNA from 1 species
AUUGAACGCUGGCGGCAUGCUUUACACAUGCAAGUCGGACGAGUGGCGUACGGGUGAGUAACGCAUCGGAACGUACCGAGUCAUGGGGGAUACCUGUCCGACAGGACAGCUAAUACCUCAUUUUAUUCGCUCGGCCGAUGUCUGAUUUGCUGGUUGGCGGGGUAAAGGCCCACAAAGGCUACGAUAAGUAGCGGGUCUGAGAGGAUGAUACGCCACACUGGGACGGAGAAACGGCCCAGACUACUACGGGAGGCAGCAGUGGGGAAUUUUGGACAAUGGGAGAAAGCCUGAUCCAGCCAUGCCGCGUGUCUGAAGAAGGCCUUCUGAUGGUAAAGGACUUUUGGCAGGGAAGCGGUACCUGAAGAAGAAGCACCGGCUAACUACGUGCCAGCAGCCGCGGUAAUAC